GUAGUCAUAUGCUUGUCUCAAAGAUUAAGCCAUGCAUGUCUAAGUAUAAGCAAUCUAUACAGUGAAACUGCGAAUGGCUCAUUAAAUCAGUUAUCGUUUAUUUGAUAGUACCUUACUACAUGGAUAACCGUGGUAAUUCUAGAGCUAAUACAUGCUAAAAAUCCCGACCUCUGGAAGGGAUGUAUUUAUUAGAUAAAAAACCAAUGCCUUCGGGCUCCUUGGUGAUUCAUGAUAACUUUACGAAUCGCAUGGCCUUGUGCCGGCGAUGGUUCAUUCAAAUUUCUGCCCUAUCAACUUUCGAUGGUAGGAUAGUGGCCUACCAUGGUUUCAACGGGUAACGGGGAAUUAGGGUUCUAUUCCGGAGAGGGAGCCUGAGAAACGGCUACCACAUCCAAGGAAGGCAGCAGGCGCGCAAAUUACCCAAUCCCGACACGGGGAGGUAGUGACAAUAAAUACUGAUACAGGGCCCUUUCGGGUCUUGUAAUCGGAAUGAGUACAAUUUAAAUCCCUUAACGAGGAACAAUUGGAGGGCAAGUCUGGUGCCAGCAGCCGCGGUAAUUCCAGCUCCAAUAGCGUAUAUUAAAGUUGUUGCAGUUAAAAAGCUCGUAGUUGAACUUCGGGCCUGGCUGACCGGUCCGCCUCACCGCGUGCACUGGUUCGGCCGGGUCUUUCCUUCUGGCUAACCUCAUGCCCUUCACUGGGUGUGCUGGGGAACCAGGACUUUUACUUUGAAAAAAUUAGAGUGUUCAAAGCAGGCAUAUGCUCGAAUACAUUAGCAUGGAAAUAAUAGAAUAGGACGUGCGGUUCUAUUUUGUUGGUUUCUAGGACCGCCGUAAUGAUUAAUAGGAUAGUCGGGGCAUCCGUAUUCA
rnacentral:rRNA from 1 species